UAAAAUUCCUGUCAAUUGUAUCAAAUUGCAAUCAAAGGGCAAACACAACUCACUCAGCAUCAUGCAGUAUCAAGAAUGUAUAGCAUGUUAAAGACAUAACAGCUACUAUAAUAAAAUACAUUAAAAGAAGCCCUUGAUAAUAACUGGCAAAAAAUACAAGAAUAUUAGCAAAUCUACCUAUAUACAUAUAGAUAUAGGACCAAAACAGUUCAUGUUGGUCAACUAGUCCAAAAUAUUUUGUUUUAGUGUUGACAUUCUUUCAAUCCAAAAGGCAGUUCUAACUUUUUUUUUUCCAGUCACAGUUUUGGAAUUGUAACAUUAUUUAUUUGUGAAACAUCUCCUUUCACAAAUGCAGUAAACUGUACUAUUAAAACCCUCGGAACCCAUGUUUGCAUCACAUUUGUACAAUAGAAAAUACAGCAAUAUGGCUACACUCCUCACCUAGCAAUAAAUAACCAUUUCUUAAAAGGCACAGUGUAAAUCAAUAAGCACGUCUGUCAUCUCUGAAGAUUUCCCAAACAUCUCAAAGUGUUACUUAUUGCGUGGACAUCAUACUAAAUUUCAGAGUCAAUAUAAAAUGGAUGUAUAUGAUAUAUAUUAUCAAUUGAUAAUAUGGACAGGUUCUGUGAAAACUGUCCAAAAUGUCCACCAUCUGUGAAGUUGUCAGUGGACUCCCAACAGCUUGGGCAUGACUCGUGGACUUCACAAUUUCCAGAUGAAACAGAAAAAAAAGUCUUAUUAAAUGUCAAAGCAUCUCAUACAUAUUGAAACAAUAAAUACAUUUAUAUUCCAAUUCAUAUAGGGUUGUACUAUUAUAAACAUCUCCUUAUUGGCCUGAAAUCAACUUUCUAGCUUUUAUUACUAAAAACAGUAUCUGCAUGCAUUGCUAGUGAGACAGAAAGGCAAGUAACGCCUCCUUCAUAGAGGCCAGUAACACACCAUUCAAUCAACACUUGGUGAUAUGCAGAGAAUUUCUUCAUUGCACCCCUACCCAGGGGAACACAGAGGUGCAUGUCCUGCUGGCUCCAGCAGAAUCUAGGGAAUGUACCAAGCACAGGUGGAGGUCUGCUACCACCCCCAGCAGCUGGGAGGGAAGCAGAUCAUUCUUUGGCUGGGUCUGCCCUACGUCCGUGGCAGCACUGUUAGACAUACAACUGGCUGACAAGCUCCAGGUGACUCCAGGUGACCUGGUUCAUACCUCUCGGCAGUCUGAGGACAUUCAAUGGCUUACCCAAACCAAAGUUUUUAUGUCUGCCUCCAAGAUUACUCUGCUGCACUGCCAGCAUAUGUGAUCUGUGUGCUUUGUAAUGAGCCAAACACAAAGUUUGUCUUUCUCUGGAUGGCUUGAGUGAAAGAUAGAGGAAAGCUUCCCAGUGUUAGCUGCCUGCAGCAGCAGAAGCAAGCUGAAGCAAUGUAACAGUGUGUGAGGAUGAUUUUAUUUAUGUCAGUUUAGAUGCUUUGUAUGGUUCACACAGUAACCUUUCCGACUUUGGUUUUUGAGCAAUUUAGUCAAUUACUGACAAUGCAUGUAAACUAGCUUCAGGAAAGAGGAUUUAUACGAGUGUUUUUUAUAUAAGAAAAAACUUCUGUUUUAACUCUUGUCAUGAUUUCCACCCAUUUAAAUGUUAUGUUCAGGCUGCAAAAUUGACUGCUCCUCAGCAUGCAGAUGACUUGAGUGUCAAGUUAUGCUUGUAAAUCAGAUGUCAAAUAUGAAUAUCCUAUGACAUGGCAACUGAAAUGUAUGUUUAAAAAAGAUACGCUCACAUAGAAGCGUUUUGUGUUCGGAUGUUUCUGAAUACCACUGAUGUCAGUGCUUUUCAGAAUCCAAGCCAUUCAUCAAAACUAUUCAUCAAAGGUGGUGUUUUGGUUUUUUGUUUGUUUGUUUUUGUUUUUGUUUUUUGUCCUAGAGAAGUGAAACUGAAAAUCAUAGUCUGUACAACUUCGGCAAAGCCAAAGGGGCCACAGCAUAAUCACAGAAUCACAGAAGAGAUCUAUGAAGAUCACAGAAUCACAGAACUGCAGGGGUUGGAAGAGACCUCAAGAGAUCAUUGAGUUCGAUCCCCCCUGCUAAAGCAGGUGCCCUACAAUAGAUAGCACAGGUAUGCAUUCAGACGGGUCUUGAAUAUCUCCGUAGAAGGAAACUUCACAACCUCUCUGGGCAACCUGUUCCAGUGCUCUGUCACCAUAAAAAAGUUUACCAUAAAAAAGUUCUUCCACACGUUAGUAUGGAACUUCCUAUAUUCAAGUUUUAGGCUAUUUCUGCUUGUCUUAUCACUACGUACCACCAAGAAGAGCCUGGACUCAUCCAUUUUCUUCCACCUGCCCUUUAGAUAUUUAUAAAUGUUUAUCAGACACUGCCCCUCAGUCUUGUUUUCCCCAGGCUGAACAGACCCAGGUUACUCAGUCUUUCCUCAUAUGGAGAGAUGCUCCAGGCCCUUUGUAAUGUUUGUGGCCCUCUGCUGGACUCCUAGAAGAUCUCCAUCUUUUUUGAACUGGGGAGCCCUGAACUGAAUGCAGUAGUCUAAAUGUGACCUCACCAGGGCAGUGUGGAGCAGGAGAAUCACCUCCCUCAACCUGCCAGCAACGCACCCCAGGAUCCCAUUGGCCUUCUUGGCCACAAGGGCACACUGCUGGCUCAUCGCCAAAAUGUCGUCCACCAGAACACCCAAGUCCUUCUCUGCAGAGAAGGCUCAUCGAUUCCUGGCUCCACACAGGACCACCCAAAAAUCAGACCAUAUGGCUGAGUGUGUUGUCCAAUUGCUUUCUGAACUCCAGCAGCAUGGGGCUGUGCCCACUGCCCUGGACAGCCCAUUCCAUGCCCACCACCCUCUGGUGGUUACGUUAUGUUUUCCCAGCACCCCCCCUGACCCUCCCCUGUCAUAGCUCCAUGCCAUCCCUUGGGUCCUGUCUCUGUCACCAGAGAGGAGAGCUCAGUGCUGCCCCUCCGCUCCCCUCAUGAAGAACUGUAGGCUGCCAUGAGGUCUCCCUUCAACCUCCUUUGCUCUGGGCUGAGUAAACCAAGGGAUUUCAGGCGCCCCUCACAUGCCUUCCCCUCUAGACCCUUCACUGUCUUUGUAGCCCUAUAAUCAACAGUAGAAGCCAUCCUGAUAUUGCUGGGCACAGAGUGUCUCAGGGAACUGCCAGUGGUCAGAGCUUUGCACUGUAUAUUGGAGAUUCUUCUUUUGUACAGUAAAUUAGUGUUCCUGCAGCAGUGCAAAACGAUCAAGGAAGCUUUCAUAAAUAUUGGAAGUCAGUGAGAGCUCAUGUAAAUACACGUUAAGUGAGAUCCAUUUUUUUUGAAAUUGAACUUAAAUUAAAGAAAAUAUGUAAUAACAUAAUGUAUAAAACAUUACCCCCACUUUAAUGUAUAAAACAUCUCCUCGACUUAUUUAUUGCAGAAAUCAAGGCUCCCAGCAGCACAGAGUUUAUUUCCAAUCCUUGCUCCCCUUUGUGUGGCCGUGCAUCAUUUUGUACACAUUUGAUUUAAAUAAAGAGACAAGAUCCAAAUCUGUGAACUCCUGGGUUUAGUCACAAGACUGCUGAACAAUUUGGUUCAGAGGAAAGGGGAUAAAGAACUGGAGAAGGAAGCAGCUGGCCAAGCCCGCACUGAAACAGAAGGGCUCUUCCUCUGAGUUCUGUGAGGAGAACAGAGAGACACACGGGGAGCUCCUUCCUCUUGUUUUAUUUCUGCUUCACAUGAGCGAUUCGGAAAGCUCAUUAUUCCUUCAGAUUCUCUGCUGCAGCCGUGUGGGAAGUAAUUCUUUCUUCGGAGGAGGAAAAAGGGUCGAAAUACAGAAUAAUGAAGUUGUUGUUUGGUCCUCAGUAUGCCCUUUUCUGCCUAAUGAAUGAUUCAUUUAACGAGGAGGCUCCAGCCCCAGCCAGCAGUUGGGUUCCAGGCACUCGGCCUGUUCCCACGCCUCAGCCAGCAGUGAGCUGGGCGCUCCUGGCCCUGCUAGGCAGCAGGCAGCGUAGGGCCAUCGGGGCAUGCUCCACUGGGCCGCCUGCAGCCUGCCCGUGAGGCUCCCACCCUCCUGCACUCCUCCCUGCUGGUGCCAGGGAUUUAAGUGGUACUUAUGUCCAGCCAUUAGGUACCCCUGCACUCACUGCUCUUCCUCGGGAAGGCUUUGUUGGCUGCCAGGUGCCACCAAACGCUGCUCAUUUUGGUGAUUCCCUUCCUCAGCAUCAGUGUGCAUCCUGGAGCAGAUCCUUCUGCUAUUUACUACACAUGCUCCUGCUUAUCUCAACGUAACAGUGCUGCCGAAGCACAGCUUGUGUACCAGUUGCACGUUGUGGAUCCAACAGCUUGGCCCGCGUUUGCUCUCACCGCUUAUGGGACAGCGCCAAUUCAAAACCACAAGUCACAAACAGACGUGUUUGCAUACCAUUGUUAAUAGCUCUGUGGAUAGAAAUAAAACACUCUUUAAGAGCCUGCUUGUUUCCCUGCCUUUAGAUUCUCCAUGUGCUUUUCCCAUCGCUCUCAGUUUAGACCAAAAAAAACCCAAAAAAACUGUAGGAAGGUUUCUAAAGGUGUUGUAUUUACAUGCUCAAAAGCAACUUUUGCUGGAUGCCUUUUUAGUUACAGAUGUAUUUCUGGAGAUGAUUAGAUUGGUAAAAGCCUGCUUCUGUAGCAUCUCAGUGUUGGCUGGAUUUGGCCAGCUGUUUCAGGCAGGUGUGAUCCUCCGAGACCACAGAAGCAUAGAAAGGUUUGGAUUGGAAGGAAUCUCUAAGAUCAUUCAUUUCCAACCCCUCGCCAUGGGCAGGGCUGCCACUCAGCAGAUCAGAAGGCUCAGGGUCCCAUCCAUCCUGGCCCAGAAUGUCUCCAGGGAUGGGGCAUCCACAGCUCCUCUGGGCAGCCUGUGCCAGUGCCUCACCGCCCUGUGAGUAAAGAAUUGCAAGCAGCUUCCAUUUGGAUCGCACACCGACGCCGUUCCGCUGUUGCUCCCGAGUACCACGCUGCUUUAUUAAUGGAAGGCCGCGCACAGUUUCGCUACUUUUAAUUAAAGUCCAGUUCUCAGUCCCCCGGCUCGCUGCUGCCGCUUUCCUCAACGAUGUCGAGCGAAGCUUACGCGUCCUCAGCCCGUAUAACGCCCACUGCCCACGCCCCGCUGCCAGCCCCGAGCUCCCGCGCCCCGCGUCCGGGGGGCUCCGCAACCCGCCGGGAAAUCCCGG
ensembl:lncRNA